GUUAUUUCCAACUUCUUCUGAAAAUGCCGUGUGAUCAGUUGAUGAUCUUUUUUUAUUUAUUAAUAGCCUAUAAAAUUAAGCAUGUAAUCAAAGAAUGAAUCCUUUCCCAAAAGUGCAAGGUGGGAUGAAUUAGAUCAGUGGUACAAAAGCAGAUGUUCUUUAUUGCAAUAGGCCUUUCUUUGGAUACUCUGGGAAGAAGGAACCAAAACAAAACACUAAAUUGAAGAGGAUUCAGAGGCGCAAUCACUACCAGCCACUUUUCAUAUGCAAAGCAUGCAUCAGCCACAUCCAUGCUAUCUCCUAAAGCAGUCAUUCUGAAACCCAAUCUGGGGACAGUGCAGACUAAAUAAAAUUUCAUUUUGAUUUGGCCUCCCGCUGAGAAUGGGACUGCUUUGUUUCAGCCGACAGAACCAGCAAGCCAGAAAGGUGUUGAAUACACAAAUACUGACUUAACGGACAAUUAUAAAGUGGCUAAUGCUGAGAAGCAAAAGGCUGUGACCACCAAUCUGAUGCAGGAAACAGGGGCAAGGAGAACUAUCAAAACUUAUGUUCAUUCUCAAAAUGAGCACCUGAACUUCCUAAACUUCCAAGCUCACAGCUGCUUGUGGCAGUAUGUGAAUGGCAGCUGUCUCACUGGAGAAGAGAUUCCGCCUUGCAGUCCUGGAGGAACGCUUGGACUCAGCACAGUCCCAGACAGCCCCUCAAGAUCCUAGAUGAAGGAUGACACUGGAAGAGGGACAGCAUCUGCACCACUUCCAUUUUCAGAACAAAGAAUUUGAGUUUCAGACCUGAAGGAGCUGGAGGGGUUCAUGUGACACAUUUGUCUGUGUUCAGUACACAUAUCAUGAAUGCGAUAAAAGAAGCAAUAUAGUUGGGAUGCUCAAGCUUUCAAAACCUGCUUUCAUUUUAAGCAAGAAACGCCUCUUAAAACACAUAUUAUGGGACCAGAUGAACAUGUCCUUCAGACUUGGAGAAGUAUUUAAAAUGUUCCAGUAGAUGAAGAUAUUGGGAGAGCCCGCAAGAUAAGCAAUCAGCUUGUAGCAGACUUGCAGUUUUGAAGAACAGAUGAUUCAGUCACUGGGAGUCUGCUCUGCAUCAGUAGUAUCUGUUCUAUAGCAACUACAGAUGAGCAGAAACAGUAGGUUUUUUUUUAGUUAAUCUGUAGAAACUUUUCUACAUGCCACAGUGACCAAAAUUGAUUAUAUGGACUUUUAUUUCAGUAUUUUCUUUGGGUCCUAUUAUGUGGUAAAGAUGACUGAUUAUAGUAAAAGAAAAAAAAAUAGAUUAAGAAAAAUCUAUAGAAGAGAUUAUGUGCCAAAAAAAAAAAAAAAAAAAAAAAAAAACCUGUCCAUACACAGAGAUUCAACAACAUAGCACGAAUAUGGAUACAUACCAAUUGAAUCACUUUCACAGAAGUGCUGAAUUAAACUUUAAGAAUAAUUUGACAAGAUUUGUGAUGUAGUGAUUUUUUAUGGUAAAGGAUUCUGUGGGAAUUGAUUUUUCAUUCAAUAAUAUUCAGAGGUGUUCUUGUCACUGUUUUAUGUAGACUGUUCACUUGGAGUUUCCUAAACUUCGUUCUCAUGUAGCUCGUUGUUCCUGAGGCUACUGCAUUUAGACCAUUCUCCAAUUGCUAUCAACGAAGUGCUGUUUGGUUUCUUGAGGAUGUGGCAGAAUGUGGCUGCGUCUGGCAAGAACACAGUGAAAAGUACCAUCAAAACACUGAGAUAAGAUAUGCACAUCCCACUCAUACAUACAUUAAUGUAUCUACUAUCAACUCAGCGGAAAACUAAGAAUGUCUGUUUUGUUUUGUUUAUUUUGUUUAUUUUUCCUACCUCAUUGCCAAGUGAGUUCUUCAAUAGGCUGAUGGCAGACCCAUUUUUUUUUAUUUUAGUAUUAGGGACAAGACUUUUAUCUCAAGUAGGAGGGCGCUUCACCUUCUCUGAGCCUCCUAGCCUUCAUUCCCACCAUCCUCCUAAAGAAAGCAUUUUUUUCUUCUUCCACCUCUUCUCCUGUGAACUUGCCCAUCUGUUUCUAUUUACUACCAGAUCCUCCCCUCCCACACUUCUCAUACAGCCGGUAAACCGCACAGUGCUGUUCUUCUGCCUCUUCCUCCCCCAGGACUCUGCUCAUGGAGUCUCUCUCCCUCUUUUUCCUGAGGACUUGCUUCAACAAGUAAGGGGGUGGCUUGCCCCAGGCUUACUGCCCCUGGGGUUUAAGUGGCAUCCUGCCUCUGGGCUAUGAGCGAUUCCCAAUCCACUGUGGUGGCCAACCUUGAAGCUCUGCUGACUCUCUGUCAGCUCCCCGCCACCCACAGGCUCCUCAGCUCAAAUCACAGAAUGAGACAUACUACAACACGCUCCAAGCAUCCGUGCAGUGGGAUUUCAUCAGCAGUGGUGCAAAACUGGUAUUUGCUUCUCUGGGAGGACAUCCCACUCUAGGACACAUAUCCACAUACGUGCAUGCCACAUUUCCAGUCAACAGCUCUUCAGUGAGUGUGUUGUUUCUUGCUCCUUCACCUGCCUGUGCUGGCUUUAAUCAGCUCAGAGCAAAGUGUUGUUUUCUUUAAUGUUUAUGCAAUGCUUAGUGCAAAGCCAAGGCCACUCAGAAAUAAAAAUGCUGUAUACAGACAGUGAAUGGGAGGACUUGAAAAUAGAGGAAGGAGACAAAACAGGAGGUGAUACAAUUUAUAUGCAUUUCUUUUUCAAAUAAAUAGCAGAAGUGGAUCAGGAAUUUGCAUCUUUCCUGUCAUAUCAUUGCAUGGGGGUUAGGAAAUGCUGCCUGAAAGUAAAAGCUGAGCUGUGGAAACUCACGAAAAGAAAAUACUUCCCCUCCCCAUCCUCAGUGUGUAAUUAGCCUGUGGCAGUAAUUGCCCUUGUGUGACACUGAGGCCAAGGUCUCUGUAAAGCGGUUAUACAGAUAGUACAAAAUUCUUGCAGCUAUCUAUAUUAUAAGAGGGAUACCAACCCUUCAGGCUUUAGGUUAGUCUCUGUUAAAGAACAGGAGGAGACCUGAUACACUGUUACUUUCAGAGAGACUGAAUAUUAGACCUGAGAGACCCUUCAUCUAAUCCUAUGCCACAUUUUUAAGGUAAAGAAGGGAAAGAUCAUAGGACAGAGCAACACAACAGGAAAUAAAACCAGGCAUUUUUUCUUCUGAGUGUACAAUGGAUGCUACUGGCUGCAACCAAUGCUUCUCGGGUCCUUCUCUUUCUGAAAGCAGAAGGUUGGAGGGUCAAACGGAAAAGAGUGGUAGGGAAAAAAGAUUCAGCAGAAUAUAAAGAGCAUAAAAGAAUGAGAAUGACAAAGCACAGAGCUGGUGUUUAAGUAAACUCUCUUUUAUUUAUUGUAAUUUAAUCUUUCAGCAGGACUCUCUGUGUUGUUUGGUUUGGUUUAUUUUGUUUUGUUUUGUUUUGUUUUUAAUUAUUUAGAGACUGCAUACUUACCUUUGUUUCAUAGAGGUAGGUUUUUGAGGAUCAUAUUCUUUGACCUGGAAGCUACUUUUAUGGUUUUUCUAGGUGAUCAUCUAUAUACCACUAAGUCUGAUUUUGUUCCCAGUUCCAUUUACAGUAAUAUUAAUUUAUUACUACAAUUAAUCAAUCCUGGAAAGGAUUGUCCAGUAAUUAGUAACUUGUGAAGAUCAGAUAUUGUGUCCUGUUACAGUUAGAGAACACAUAAAUUAUAAAGACCACUAUUUUUGUGCCAGUUGUAAAAACAAAGCAUGUACUUAAUAAAAAGUCUAUUAAAUAAGUCAUAAUUGAAUGGCAUCUAAUUAAUGCAUAAAGUGAUAGUGAACAUUCUGAACAGGCUAGCAAGCCAAAGACUUGUUGAAGUUUGCUAAAUUCCAUUUGGUUUUGCUGUCAUUUUCUCCCGUGUCUCUCAAGGUUCCCAUCCCUCCAUCUGUGACUCCUCCCACCCCCCAAAAAAAAUAAGGAAGAAACUACCUGUUUUAAUACAAAAUACUAAGACAAAUAUUACAUUUAAUACAUCACUGACCCAUCUGAGAUUGUAACUGAAAGCAGUCUUACUUAAGAACUUAAGCAACUUGUUACAAACUCGACCACUGUCAUUGCAUAGUGCGCAUUUGCUGAGGAACAGUUCUGAACCAUGCGUUGGAGACACUUUUUUUCCAAUAGUUCUGGACUCUUUUCAGCUCAAGAGAGCUUGAUGUCUUUCAAAAACUGCACAUUUAAAAUAAUGGAGCCUAGAACCAGAUUCCAUCCCCAGAAAUCAAAAGUAUAGAAUAAAUGAAUAGUAUUCUGCAUACUUUUUAUCCUGUGUUUUCUGUUGAACUAACAGCUCACAAUUAUUCCAAGGAACAUUGCAGGGAGAGCUAGUGAAACCUUAAAACACUGAAAAUUAAGUCUGGGACAGAGAUACCACAUGCACACAUUAAUCUCAAGGAGCUAUUCGAGUGUUUCUGAGUCUUGUCUAGAUGGUUAUUUUGCAAGGCCUGGUGUUCAUGCAAGACAGUAAUUGCAGCAUAAACAAGUAACGAGUAAAUGUAUCUUUAUAGGGGUUAUUCAGCUUUCUAUCCUACUGUUUUCUCCUUUAUAUUAGCCCCUAUUCCAUGCCCCAGGGCUCCUUACCAGCUCCUCAUUAAGGCAUGCACCUUCUUGUGG
ensembl:lncRNA